rnacentral:rRNA from 1 species
AACGAACGCUGGCGGCAGGCUUAACACAUGCAAGUCGAACGCAUCCUUCGGGAUGAGUGGCAGACGGGUGAGUAACGCGUGGGAAUCUACCCAUCCCUACGGGAUAGCUCCGGGAAACUGGAAUUAAUACCGUAUACGUCCUUCGGGAGAAAGAUUUAUCGGGGAUGGAUGAGCCCGCGUUGGAUUAGCUAGUUGGUGGGGUAAAGGCCUACCAAGGCGACGAUCCAUAGCUGGUCUAAGAGGAUGAUCAGCCACAUUGGGACUGAGACACGGCCCAAACUCCUACGGGAGGCAGCAGUGGGGAAUAUUGGACAAUGGGCGCAAGCCUGAUCCAGCCAUGCCGCGUGAGUGAUGAAGGCCCUAGGGUUGAAAAGCUCUUUCAGUGGGGACGAUAAUGACGGUACCCACAGAAGAAGCCCCGGCUAACUUCGUGCCAGCAGCCGCCGUAAAAC